UCCAUGACUCAUUUGGAACCCCUUUACAAGUGCAGGGUUUGCAACUGAUGUUUAGCUUUUCAAAUUUUCUUCAUUGCCUCAAACAACAUAAGUUUUGGUAUCUGUAUCAAACCAGCAUCCACAUAAAAAGUGCAAAUGAUUUUCAUGGUAAAUCAGAAAGGGAGAAAAUUUAAGCUGCGAAUUCGAUGCAUGGGAACUUGUAUUUGUUCUGAAGAUUCAGUUGAGAUGCUUGACAAUCAAUGUUCCCUAAAACA
rnacentral:misc_RNA from 1 species